rnacentral:rRNA from 1 species
UGGGGAAUAUUGCACAAUGGGCGAAAGACCUGAUGCAGCAACGCCGCGUGAGGGAAGACGGUUUUCGGAUUGUAAACCUCUGUUUUCGGUGACGAACAAAUGACGGUAACCGAGUAGGAAGCCACGGCUAACUACGUGCCAGCAGCCGCGGUAAUACGUAGGUGGCAAGCGUUGUCCGGAAUUACUGGGUGUAAAGGGAGCGCAGGCGGGAAAUCAAGUUGGAUGUGAAAUGUCGGGGCUUAACCCCGGAACUGCAUCCAAAACUGAUAUUCUUGAGUGAAGUAGAGGUAGGCGGAAUUCCGAGUGUAGCGGUGAAAUGCGUAGAUAUUCGGAGGAACACCAGUGGCGAAGGCGGCCUACUGGGCUUUAACUGACGCUGAGGCUCGAAAGUGUGGGGAGCAAACAGGAUUAGAUACCCUGGUAGU